UCUGCUUAAAGGGGCCUUGUCACAUAUCUCUGCACUGAUCACCCAGGUGAUGUAACUCUUGUCUAGGCUCUGCUUACAGGGGGUAUUGUGACAUAUAUCUGCACUGAUCACCUAAGUGAUGUAACACUUGUGUAGGCUCUGCCUACAGGGGCAUUUUGACAUAUCUCUGCACUGUUAAACGAGGUGAUGUAACUCUUGUCUAGGCUGUGCCCACAGGGGGAUUGAGACAUAUCUCUGCACUGAUCCCGAGAUGAUCCAACUCUUACCUGGUCUCUGCCUACUGGGGACUUUGUGACAUAUCUCUGCACUUAUCUCCCAGGUGCUGUAACUUUAGUCUAGGCUCUGGCUAUACGGCAUUGUGACAUAUCACUGCACUGAUCACCCAGGUGAUAUAACUCUUCUCUAGGAUUUGCCUACAGGGUGCUUUGUGACAUAUCCCUGCAAUGAUCACCCAGGUGAUGUACCACUUGUCAAAGCUCUGCCUACAGGGACAUUGCGAUGUAUCUCUGCACUGAUCACCUAGGUCAUGUAACCGUUGUCUAGGCUCUGCCUACAGUGGCAUUGUGACAUAUCUCUGCACUGAUCACCCGAGUGAUGUAACUCUUCUCCAGGAUCUGCCUAACGGGACUUUGUGACAUAACUCUGCACUGAUCAUCCAGGUGAUGGGGCUUUUGUCUAGGAUCUGCCUAAGGGGGCAUUGUGACAUAUUUCUGCACUGAUCACCCAGGUGAUGGACUCUUGUCUUGGAUCUGCCUAUGGGGGCAUUGUGACAUAUCUCUGCACUGAUCACCCAGGUGAUGUAACUGUUGUAUAAGCUCUGCCUACAGGGUAAUUGUGAGAGAUCUCGCCACUGAUCAACCAACUGUUGUAACUAUUGUCUAGGCUUUGCCUACAGGGGGCUUUGUGACAUACCUUUGCACUGAUAACCCAGGUGAUAUAACUCAUCCAAGUUCUGCCUACAGGAGCUUUGUGACAUAUCUCUGCACUGAUCACUUAGGUGAUGUAACACUUUUAUAAGCACUGCCUACAGGGAAUUUUGACAAAUCUCUGCACUGAUCACCUAGGUGAUGUAACACUUUUAUAAGCACUGCCUACAGGGAAUUCUGACAAAUCUCUGCACUGAUCACCUAGGUGAUGUAACUCUUGUCUACCCUCUGCCCAAAGGGGGCACUGUGAAAUAUCU
rnacentral:lncRNA from 10 species